rnacentral:rRNA from 1 species
GAUGAACGCUGGCGGCGUGCCUAAUACAUGCAAGUCGAGCGAACAGACGAGGAGCUUGCUCCUCUGACGUUAGCGGCGGACGGGUGAGUAACACGUGGAUAACCUACCUAUAAGACUGGGAUAACUUCGGGAAACCGGAGCUAAUACCGGAUAAUAUAUUGAACCGCAUGGUUCAAUAGUGAAAGACGGUUUUGCUGUCACUUAUAGAUGGAUCCGCGCCGCAUUAGCUAGUUGGUAAGGUAACGGCUUACCAAGGCAACGAUGCGUAGCCGACCUGAGAGGGUGAUCGGCCAACACGGAACCGAGACAAGGUCCAGACUCCUACGGGAGGCAGCAGUAGGGAAUCUUCCGCAAUGGGCGAAAGCCUGACGGAGCAAAGGCGGGUGAGUGAUGAAGGUCUUCGGAUCGGAAAACUCUGUUAUUAGGGAAGAACAAAAGUGUAAGUAAAUAUGGACGUUUUGACGGUACCCAAUUAGAAAGCCCCGGCUAACUUCGUG